rnacentral:rRNA from 1 species
UACGUAGGGUGCAAGCGUUAAUCGGAAUUACUGGGCGUAAAGCGUACGCAGGCGGCUAUGUAAGACAGGUGUGAAAUCCCCGGGCCUAACCUGGGAACUGCAUUUGUGACUGCAUAGCUAGAGUCCGUCAGAGGGGGGUGGAAUUCCACGUGUAGCAGUUAAAUGCGUAGAGAUGUGGAGGAACACCGAUGGCGAAGGCAGCCCCCUGGGUCAAGAUUGACGCUCAUGCACGAAAGCGUGGGGAGCAAACAGG